ensembl:lncRNA
AAAGAGGAGAGGCACUACUCCCUGAGUGAAUGGUGAUUCCACAUCUUCAUCUGUCCUCUUGAUUUCCAAGACUCCCUCCAUCUCCAGGGAAACUUCAAGUGAUUUCUCAUUGAGGUGCAAUGUGGGCUUCUGAGCAGGAGGACUUUACUGUUGCCUUCAGGCCUUAUAUGAUUUUUUUUGAAGGAACUCCAUUGCCAACAUCCUGUAUGCUUAACUUUAGAGUCAAUUUUCUUUUGUGAACAUGCAUAGUUAUUGCAGAAGUCAGAAGAGGGUUUCAAAUCCCUUGGAACUGGAAUUAUGAAUGGAUGUUACUCAUGAGAUUCUGCCCCAGUCCUCUUCAGGAGCAACAAGAGCUCUUAACCAC